CCUACUCCGGCUCUAAUAGAUCGGGGCUUCCGUGCAUUUAAAACUUCCUAUUCAUAAACGGUGGCAUUAAGUUUCUAAAGUACUACGUACAACAAUAACCAUAUAUUCACUAUAGGUUGUGUCUUAAAGAUACUGCAAAGGAUCUCGUUGCUACACAGAAUAUCUUGUUUCUUUAUACAGGCAAAGAAACAAACGAAUCUGGUGUGGAGUUUUUCUCUUUACGAUAAAAGCACAAUCAAACGGUAAGUGUAAUCGUGUUCGUCAAAAUUCUGUCUGCCACCUGUAUUGUUUUUGCUUCGAUUAUUUACUAUUUAUAUUGUUAUCCUUAUUGCGACUAUUUAAAAUAUUCAACACGCAAUAAACAGCUGACGGAAAAACCUAGACUGCUAAAUGACUGAUAAGCUUUCCCCCGAAAAUUUGUUUUCGUGAAGUUCGAACCCAACAACAACGAGCAAAAGCAAAGCUUAGUAACUAUAAUCUUAAUUGAACUACAGAUAGCCUACGUGUUGAUGUUUGAAUCUUAGCGUUCGUAGGUCACUAAUUUAGUUAACUAUAUUAUGUAAAUAACCUAGUCGGCUGAGUAGUACGUGGAAUUUCUUAUUUUAAUAAAACAACUUGGACAGCUUUUUUUAUGAGAAGUAUGAGUAAGAACAUAAGCGACAGCAUGUUUACUUAAUUUCUUAAUUAUAAAAAAAUUAGCUGAACAUUGAACCUGCAAGGAAAAUGAUGACACGGCUCCUAAUCGUCAACGUGUUGUUAUCAUUCAGAGGUAUCACAAACGAUGAAACCGAUAACAAUAAUUAAAAACAGAAUCCUUGAUUAGGAAUACAGAUAAAUAAUAAUGCACUUAAAAUUGCAUGGAGCAAUACUAUUACGCCCUCAACCAAGUUUCACUUGCUAGACAAAACAAAAGGGCUUCAAUGCUUCGAGCAAAUAUAUUUCUCGUUUAAAUAAAAGAAUGUCUGUAACAAAAGCUAGAGGAAAUGAGUGGUGCAAAUUGUAAAUACUAAAAGCUUCUAUACAAAGCAAACAUCCUCAUCAUGGUUUACCAAAAAUUUAUGAUUUGUAAAAUAGAGAUCAUAAAAAUAAAGCUUUUAGGUUCUUUUGCAGGAGUAGCCUUUCGGCCGCCCACAUUUUCACGAUGAGGGAAGAGCAGCAACCUGUCUUUGCUUCGAACAUGGGAAGCAUCGCGCCACCUGCCAGCGCUCCAGGGGCUUCUGUUACGAGCAAGUUCGAGGAGCUUGUUCAAAAAUGUGCUCAAUUAGAAAGCGAGAAUGCUGUUUUGGCCUACAAGUUGCGUCGCAUGCGAAAAACGAUUCGUCGUUUGGGUCAAGACAAUGCGUUCAUCCAGAGAAGGCUGCGAGAACAUAUUAGAAAGAGAGAAGGCUCCACAACAACAACACUGGCCGCCCUUGUCGCUACCACGACUAUGGGACUGUCUUGCGAACAUGGACAUACGGGUGUCCCAACUACAAUCAAAAUGGAAACCCCUACCCAAGAAAACCAGGGGGCAAUUUCAGCAAAAUCAACAAAUUCGGCAGCCUCCAGAGCUGCACCAACGCUAUCGGCGCCAACGCCGACAUCAUCCACACCAGUAAUCACUGCAACGAGCAAUGGACAUGUAGGACGAACCUCCAAUAUAAAAUUAGAACCACCGCAAGCAAAUAAGAAAAGCGGAGUCAGCCAGAAUCCGGUAAUGACAAGUAUAGACGUGAUAGGAAGAUAAAACUAGCAGCAAGAAGUGCCUAUGCCAGCUCAUCGUCACGUUGCACAUCUUGUCACUAACGCCGGAAGAAACGCUUCGGUGAAAAUAGAGAUUUAUGUACUUGCUAAAGUACUUCAUAGCAAGUACAUAAAUCUCUAUCUUUACACUUGCUAUCAUUAUAUUAUUGUAUAGAUCUAAAUAAUGUUAUACUAGUAGAAAUUAGUUCACCAUUGGAAAUAGACUUUAAACUCCGAAUAAGAUCAACUGUCUGCGACUGAGACUAUCAUUGUCUCCUGAGUUGUGCGUCAGACUGCUAUCAGCUCAUCCAAUUCCACUAAGAAGUGUUGUCUUUCGCAGGAUAUGAAAAAAAUUAUUUCUGUUAUAAUUGAUUCUAUAAAGUAUAGUGUUUUCCUUCUGAAUAUAUAAAUUCAAUCCUGCGGGGCAGUGAUAGCCAUUACAAUAUGAAUCAACGAAAAAUUUAGAGAUGCACUGACUGGCUGUGAUAAAAAUUUUUAGAUACACCUCCAUUUUGUAAAUGGAGCAGUGUUCUUCUAUUGUGCGUAGCGUUAUUCGUGGUUGAAACACUAAAUGUGAACGUUAACCUGCGUUAGCUAACUAUAUAACGCAAAGCUGACACUGGAUCUAUAAACAGAAUGUUGUCUUAGUUAAAGCAGGCAAACGCCAAUGGAAUAAAUACAAUUUAGAAAAUUGUCAUUGUGUAUUUGAUAAAAGUCGAGUUAAAGCGCUUCUAUAAAGAACAAGGUGUUUCGUAGACACAAGUGACUGUGACACUAGUACAGAAUACAUUAUUUAUAAUAUGUUUUUUAUAGGCAAUUUUGGCUGUGUAUAUAAUUUAUUGUGCAAAUUGUGUACAUAACGGAGAAAACUUAAGAAAAUAAAGCAAA